rnacentral:rRNA from 1 species
AGCGUACACGGUGGAUGCCUUAGCAGUCAGUGGCGAUGAAAGACGUAGUAACUUGCGAUAAGUCCUGAUUAGGUAGCAACAACCACUUGAGUCUGUGAUUUCCGACUGGGGAAACCUACGAGCAUAAGCACGUACCCUUACCUGAAUACAUAGGGUAAGGAGGCGAACCGGGGGAACUGAAACAUCUAAGCACCCCGAGGAAAAGAAAACAACCGAGAUUCCGAAAGUAGCGGCGAGCGAAAUUGGAAUAGCCCUUAAGCCUUUCAUGCCGUAGAAGAACCGUCUUGUAAGUCCGGCGCUACAGGGUGAUAGUCCCGCCGCUGGACACGGGUGUUAAGGGAAAUCGAGUAGGGUGGGACACGCGAAGUCCUGUCCGUAGUCGGAGGGGCCACUCUCC